AUUGAACGCUGGCGGCAGGCCUAACACAUGCAAGUCGAGCGAGCGGCGGACGGGUGAGUAAUGUAUGGGGUCUGCCCGAUAGAGGGGGAUAACUACUGGAAACGGUGGCUAAUACCGCAUACUGUCUGAUAACCCAUAGGGGAUUAGCUAGUAGGUAAGGUAAUGGCUUACCUAGGCGACGAUCCCUAGCUGGUCUGAGAGGAUGAUCAGCCACACGGGGACGGAGACACGGCCCAGACUCCGACGGAGGCAGCAGUGGGGAAUAUUGCACAAUGGGUGCAAGCCUGAUGCAGCCAUGCCGCGUGUAUGAAGAAGGCCCUAGGGUUGUAAAGUCCUUUCAGUCGGGAGGCGUUACCGACAGAAGAAGCACCGGCUAACUCCGUGCCAGCAGCCGCGGUAAUUC
rnacentral:rRNA from 1 species